UACGUAGGGCGCAAGCGUUUGUCCGGAAUUAUUGGGCGUAAAGAGCUCGUAGGCGGUUUGUCGCGUCUGCUGUGAAAACCUGAGGCUCAACCUCGGGCGUGCGAUGGAUACUGCCGGGCUAGAGGAUGGUAGAGGCGAGUGGAAAUUCCCGGUGUAGAGGUGAAAUUCGUAGAUAUCGGGAGGAACACCGGUGGCGAAGGCGGCGACCUGGGUAGAUACUGGACGACUGAGGUGGCGAAA
rnacentral:rRNA from 1 species